rnacentral:rRNA from 1 species
UACGUAGGGGGCUAGCGUUGUCCGGAAUCAUUGGGCGUAAAGCGCGCGUAGGCGGCCCGGUAAGUCCGCUGUGAAAGUCAAAGGCUCAACCUUUGAAUGUCAGCGGAUACUGCCGGGCUAGAGUCCGGAAGAGGCGAGUGGAAUUCCUGGUGUAGCGGUGGAAUGCGCAGAUAUCAGGAGGAACACCGGUGGCGAAGGCGGGACUCUGGGCCGAUACUGACGCUGAGGAGCGAAAGCGUGGGGAGCGAACAGG